rnacentral:lncRNA from 1 species
AGCCUACUUUGGACUCUGUGUGUUUCUCUCUCUGCCCCUCCCUCACUGGCACUCUAUCUCUCUCUCUUUUAAAAAUAAAUAAACAUUAAAAGAAGAAGAAGAAGAAGAAGAAGAAGAAGAAGAAGAAGAAAAGGAUUAUUGCUUUCCUCUGCCAGGUACAUCUGCCAUUUGUGUGUUGGAUUAUCUCUGAAACAGAUAUUCAUCGACGGCAGAAUGACUCAAUGCCAUAUUUUCUCACAAACGAUAACGGUCACGAUUAGAUGAUGCUGGGUUAUGCUGUGCUACUGAGACAUCAGCUGGAGAAAAACACAAACAUCAACAACUCUGAGCUGGAAAACGAUGGAGGGCAAUUGGACACAAUCAUCUGCUUUAUUUUGUGUAAAUAG